AAAAAAAAUGCCCUGUGGCAUAUGCCGCAGGGACCCUUCCAUUCUUUUUCGGACGAGCCGAAAGAGAAGGAAAAAGGGAGAGGAGAAACCGGAGGAAGAACUUAUGGGGAACGUAAGUCUUCUCCGUGG
rfam:Anoxybacillus flavithermus strain 25 c5, whole genome shotgun sequence.